rnacentral:sRNA from 1 species
GUCGAGACAGCAGGCGGCUCAAGUGGACAGCCGGGAUGGCAGAGCGUGCGGCGCUGGAGGAGCUGGUGAAACUUCAGGGAGAGCGCGUGCGAGGCCUCAAGCAGCAGAAGGCCAGCGCCGAGCUGAUCGAGGAGGAGGUGGCGAAACUCCUGAAACUGAAGGCACAGCUGGGUCCUGAUGAAAGCAAACAGAAAUUUGUGCUCAAAACCCCCAAGGGCACAAGAGACUAUAGUCCCCGGCAGAUGGCAGUUCGCGAGAAGGUGUUUGACAUAAUCAUCCGUUGCUUCAAGCGCCACGGUGCAGAAGUCAUUGAUACACCUGUAUUUGAACUAAAGGAAACACUGAUGGGAAAGUAUGGGGAAGACUCCAAGCUUAUCUAUGACCUGAAGGACCAGGGCGGGGAGCUCCUGUCCCUUCGCUAUGACCUCACUGUAUCUUUCUAAACUUGGGCUCUUGAGACUUUGGAUGGAUUGGCACUCACUUGGCUCAGGUUUAAGAAUGGUAGAGUAGGUAGGAUCAAAUACGAGGCCUUUGGCGAUUAGGGGAAUUAUUUCUCUAAACCAGGAGUGGAAAUUUGGCUAAACAGAGCAUACACAUCCUUAGAAAUCUUCUGAAUCCUGAGUGAGACCUCAGCUUGAUGUCAGGGCCCAGUUCCAACUCUACAGUCAUCCCCUGGCUCCAGAAUACCUCUCCCCUGCCCUGUCCAGUGAACAAAAUUCUUCUUAAUGGACUAGCAACACAUUUCCCUUGUCUCCAAGCUACACAGAGAAUCAUCUGCUUAGAAAUCCCAUAUGGGGGCCUUUUUCUGGUCGCCUUUUUCUGGUCUGUGG